GUACACACCGCCCGUCGCUCCUACCGAUUGGAUGAUCAGAUGAAAUGUUUGGACCGUUUUCGUGCAGCUGCUUCGGCAGCAGUGCGAGAGUGGGAAGAGCAGUGAAUCUUAUCAUCUAGAGGAAGGAGAAGUCGUAACAAGGUUUCCGUAGGUGAACCUGCAGAAGGAUCA
rnacentral:rRNA from 1 species